rnacentral:rRNA from 1 species
GAUGAACGCUGGCGGCGUGCUUAACACAUGCAAGUCGAACGGAAAGGCUCCUGCUUGCAGGGGUACUCGAGUGGCGAACGGGUGAGUAACACGUGGGUGAUCUGCCCUGCACUUCGGGAUAAGCCUGGGAAACUGGGUCUAAUACCGGAUAGGACGAUGGUUUGGAUGCCAUUGUGGAAAGUUUUUCGGUGUGGGAUGAGCUCGCGGCCUAUCAGCUUGUUGGUGGGGUAAUGGCCUACCAAGGCGUCGACGGGUAGCCGGCCUGAGCGGGUGUACGGCCACAUUGGGACUGAGAUACGGCCCAGACUCCUACGGGAGGCAGCAGUGGGGAAUAGUGCACAAUGGGCGCAAGCCUGAUGCAGCGACGCCGCGUGGGGGAUGACGGCCUUCGGGUUGUAAACUCCUUUCGCUAGGGACGAAGCGCAAGUGACGGUACCUGGAGAAGAAGCACCGGCUAACUACGUG